rnacentral:lncRNA from 1 species
ACCCUAGUAACCGCGUCCACGUGUGGCUGUGACCACAGUCCUUCUGCUCCUCCCCAGGUGGCAGCAACCCCAAGCCUGCUUCAUUCACAGCUGCAUCACCGGGACCCAGCAGGGGCAUGCCACGUGGUGAGUGUUCUAGAAUGUUCUACACACCGCUUCAGAAUGACAGAGUGAAUGUGGACAAUGAUUCCGCUCAGCACCUGGAGCUGUCUGAAUAAGAAGAGGCCUGCAAAUGCCCCACCUGAUGGCUGCCCCCCAGGGCACCGGCUGUUGGAGUGCCGGUCCAGGGUCCAACAUUUAGUAACCAACAUCAAAUGUACUUGUCUCUCCUAAGCUGCACAGACUGCCAAGAGACAGGGGUCUCCCUCUGUCACCCAGCUGAGACUACAGGCACGCGCCACCAUGCCUGGCUAUUGUAUCAUCUUGAUGGAAGUAUCUAAGCUCGCCAAGCUUGCUUUCUUUGGGAAAAUGCAGUUAUCAACAUGUAUCCUAAGUGUUUUUCAUGAGGAUAACACAGACGGGUGUGUAUAAGGUGCCCACACAGCACUAGGCAUACAGCAGAGAGUCAACCCAUCUUGGCCUCCCUGCCUCUCCUGGCCCCUCACCCCUAGCACUUGCCCACCCUUUCAGUCUCAAGGAGGAACGGCCACAAGGGCAGCCCUGAGUACACAGCAUGAGAACACAGUCUCUCGUCAGGUCUUCGCCGCAAAUCUCUCUCCAGAGGAUCGUGGCUGAGGCACCAUGGAAUGCUGCUGUUCUACUGGAGAUGAAAUUUCAUCCAAAAGAAAAAGGGAAAAGUAUCCAAAAGUCUUUCUAGUCUCCAGGCAUUUAGAAAAGCUUUAGAACAAGAUCUGCACUGGCACAAGAAUUUGAGUGGAAAUCACCCUGCCCAGCUGUGAGCCCCGGGGCGGGUGAGCCACACACUUGGAUCUCACUGCAGUUGUGGCCUCUGGGAAGAAGGCUUUGAAUGCAGAUUUUAAACAGGUACUCAACUCAUACUGAGCCACGGCUACUUUCAACUUAACAAUAUGUGAGAAACCCAUCUGAUCACUGCAGACCUGCUGAAAUCUCUUACAACUAAUCCUUCAAUCCUCACCAGAAUGCUGGCUGUCCUGCCUCUGCCGUCGCGAGAGAAGAUAAAAGCUACUGGGUGGCCACAGGGCAGUUAUGUCCCCUUCUCUAGGUUUUGUGAUUCUGGCAGUUAGAAUGGGUUUCCAGACUUUUACAAGCAGAAACCCUUAUACAUGUGAUUAUAUGCUGUCCGUCAACAUGUAAAACACGCCAAGCGUGGUGACUCACACCUGUAAUCUCAACGUUUUGGGAGGCCAAGGUGGGAGGACCACUU